rnacentral:lncRNA from 1 species
UCCAUUCUUUACCAGCACUGACACUUCCUACAUCUUUCGUUAUGAAAAAAAUUCUCCCAGCUUCUCCAAGUGUCCCCGUCUGCAAAGUGAAAGUAUUAAUUAAUAACUGUUCUAAGAGACUCACAACACUGCUGGAAAAAUUGAAUUAGAAAAUGCACAGAACUAGCUGAGGUAAUGGUACAAUUCUAAAGACAGGGAAAGGUUCAGGGGGGAGGGUGGGCGGGGGGGAGAGAGAAUUAAAGUGAAAUUAGAAAUCUGGAAGGAGGCCAGGC